AUUGAACGCUGGCGGCAUGCCUUACACAUGCAAGUCGAACGGUAACAGGCCGCAAGGUGCUGACGAGUGGCGAACGGGUGAGUAAUGCAUCGGAACGUGCCCAGUCGUGGGGGAUAACGCAGCGAAAGCUGUGCUAAUACCGCAUACGAUCUGUGGAUGAAAGCGGGGGACCGUAAGGCCUCGCGCGAUUGGAGCGGCCGAUGUCAGAUUAGGUAGUUGGUGGGGUAAAGGCUCACCAAGCCAAAGAUCUGUAGCUGGUCUGAGAGGACGACCAGCCACACUGGGACUGAGACACGGCCCAGACUCCUACGGGAGGCAGCAGUGGGGAAUUUUGGACAAUGGGCGCAAGCCUGAUCCAGCAAUGCCGCGUGCAGGAAGAAGGCCUUCGGGUUGUAAAGCUCUUUUGUCAGUGAAGAAAACUUUAGUAAUAACACUAUUAAAGCAUGACGGUAACUGAAGAAUAAGGACCGGCUAACUACGUGCCAGCCGCCGCCGUAAAAC
rnacentral:rRNA from 1 species